rnacentral:misc_RNA from 1 species
UAUUUUUUUUCCACAAAAAUAACAUAGCAAUAUCAAAAAUACCAGAUGAUUAGGCAUAACAAAAAUAUUUAAAAUCCCGUUAACUAACGCACAACUCGGCUAUAUGACCUGCAAAUCUGAAUUAGUUAUCAACAUAAAUUGAGGCUACCAUUUUCAAGAUAAAAACUCUACCCUAUUUCCCAUAAUGCACGGCCCCCCAAUCUACAAUUACUAUUGAAACUAUCGAAAUCCAUUCAGUAGAGAAUCGGCCUUCCAUUGUCCAAUACAAGUACUCUACGCACUAGGAUUGAAGAACAUGAUAACAUAAAUGCCUCUGGCACAGAUAUUACAUUGUUUU